AGGGACACUCCCGUGUGACGGGAAGACAGGGGGAGACUGAGCAAGACGCGGGGAGCCGUCCGCCCUGGAUGCCCGGGUCCCCCGCGGGGCUGCCGAGAGGCACCGGGGCCAGGAGCCGUGGCUGAGAAAGGCCCCCAGGGACCACCCCAGCACCGGCACCAGGAACACACAGAAAGCCCGAGAAGACCUGGCUGGAGGGGAUGUCCCAAAGGGACCAGAAUAUUUAAAGCCGACACAGAUCAUCUACUUGACUUCAAAAUUGUAACUAUGCGAGUUACACCAUCUCCAGCAGUUCUUUCCCGAGGACACAUUUGCACGAUUCUUCAAAACAGCACUGUUGUCCUUAGCAAAAUCUAGGAACCGCUCAAGUGUUUGCUAGGAGCGGCCCUUGCAGUACAGUACCGAAGGAGACCACAGCAGACUAUGGCACCUUCUCCUAAGAUGGCUUCCUAUGCAGCACUGCUGAGUGACAGCUACAGAUCCUAGGACGCAGUGGCUCAAGGACAGGCAAGAUUACUGGAUGGUGGACGUGCACCACGAAAUGUGGUAAAGCUAUGAAGGAAAGCAGGUGUCCAGUAGCACAAGGUUCAGGUAACGGUUAUCCUAAGCCGGGGGGGAAUGUUUGGGGAUGCACACACAUACACACACAGAAGCCCUCAAGGACAGUCAGUGCUUGUGGACAUAUUGCUCUUUGUUUUACUAGGAUUCAUUAUAGCUAAUGUAUAUAUGCAGAAUACCUCAUGUAUACUGUACAUCUCAUUUUUUUUCAGAUGGGUAAAAAAAGCCACACCCAAAUUCUCGACAUACAAUAAAGUAUAUUAAGGGCUUGGCACGCAUCUCCCGCAAAAACUUAAUACAGGUAAACUAAACUCCCUCAAAUGAUCAGUCACCGAGGAAAGCUGAGCCCCUGACCCAAUCAAAGAUGCACCUAGAAAGAACACAGGAAAAGGAAAAAUAAAAUCAAGUGGCUAAAAUCCACUCAUUUAAAAAGAAAACCAUUCUAAAACAAGGCCUAUGAAAACUAUGAGCAAAUCUUUUCAAUUAGCUGUUAACAAAAACUUCGUGAAGCAGUCACUUCUAAAAGCAGGAAGCAGAAGUACAUUACGAAUGACUGGGUGAGAAGUAUCAGGGGUCAACAAUGAGAGACCAAGAGAGCAACAGAUUAUGAAAACCACAAAGCACAUCCCUUUUGUCUGCGGACAGACAGGAAGACAAUAAAGAGAAAUCCCUCGCUCUGAGCCCUGUGUGAACGCACAGUGGUGUUUUUUAACAAAUCACAAAGCCCACCUUAUCCUAACCCGUCCUGGUGCUUAGGUACCUUGGGCACCAUUCCUGCAGCAGGGCUGGGCCUCUGCUCAAACACCCCCAGUGCUGGGGAGAGCCCGCAGUCAUCUGGGUGUCUGCCUUGUUCACAGAGAAGCUUCCAGCACCCUACCCCACCCCGCCCCGCCCCCGGGGGCCACAUGAACACCAGCAUUCUCCAGAUCACACUGCACUCCUGUUCCCCAGUGUGGACUUGCACCCCUUUCCCCAGGCACUGAGCCAGCUCCCAGGGGUGGACCCCUGACGGCAAGGCCCCAGAGGCCCGGGCCCUGUGUGACUCCUGUGCCUCCUCUCUAAGAGUCCGGAGCCCUCACCUUCAGGCCCCACUUGCCCUGGGAUCUGUCUGUCGCAUUUGGACAUCUAGCACGGAACGGGUUGAGAGGAGACAGGCCGCAGGGGCGCCUGCUUAGUUACCAUCACCAUGGAAACCUCAGGCCAGGAGCCCGGGGCAGCACCUUGGAAGUGGCAGCUCUGACAGCUCUGCUCGGGCGCCUUCCUAGCCACGGCUCACGGGGAGUCUUGGACACCGGGGAGCCCCCGGGAGGCAGCUGUGUGGCCGAGCCCCAGAUCCAAGGGCUUCCUCCCCUCUCAGUGGUCUCCAGAUGACCACCCUCGUGGAGUCCAAUUCCUUUUUUUUUUUUUUUAGAAGCUCUGGAGUGUGGGACAUUUCCUUGUCUGCAGAGAAAAACAGGCAGGCCGAUGGAGAGAGGCAGAUCAGAGGGGAGAAAAGUCUGAGAACAUUCCAGAUGUUUGUGCAGCAGCUCAGUGAAACGUCCAUUGCGAGUCACAAGGGGAAGGAUGAGUGCAAAGGUCUCCCUGAUCCAAGCAGAGCAGGGCCGGCUGUUGGCCAGGCAGUGCCCGAGAGAGCACGAAGAUCUUGGUGGCCAGGCCCCCAGGCCAGGCAGAAAAGUGGCUUAGGUGCAGCGAGGCGGCUCUGCAGAAUGUACGUGAAGUCUUGCAACUAUUGCUGGGUGACCAGGGUCUGGAGGAGUGACUACUUCAAGAGGAUGAAAACCCACGGGGAAGAGGAAGUUGGCAGGACAGUGCCUCCGUGGAAAGCUGCGGAAGGCAGGACGAUCAACAGGAAGAGGAUGAGGUCCCCGGGCCGCUCUGUGGAGCUGUGCUGACGGUCACAGUGAUUGAAGACACCGAGAAGGAAGGAAUGGGAGUAAGUCAUUGAGGCGCUCAAAUCAUCAAAAUACAUCGAAGCACAUCAUUGGAGGUUAGAGCCCGAGAGAGCUUCCGCUCGGGUGACCCCACAGGACCUAAAGAGGAGGAAGGCUUCCCUCUGAGUCUAGAAACGAAAGGCAGGACAAAGUUGGACUGGGGUGGCCACACUGCCUGAGGCCUGGAGGUUCCCCAGGACUGGCAGUUUAAAGGGAGCCUCAAAUGACACAGUGUUUACUUUUGGGUCAAAAAAUCAUCGGCAAGGGGACAACAUCAAGGCAGUCAAGAAUGAAUGGAGUGAAGUUCAACAACAUCACUGCAAAACUCCAAGGAUGUGUAGGAAUAUUCUAGGAUACUUUUUAGGAAAUAACCCAGCAAGAGCCUUUUGGGAAACACUGGUCCGGCUCAUCCAAAGAAGCAGGGUCCUGAACAGGAGGACAGGCCGAGAGCAGCCGGGGCCGCCAGGGCAGGCACCACCCUGGGAAGCGGCAACGGAGCCCAAAAAGACAACUGGAAUUAAAGAGGACUGGCCUCAGAGGCACUGCCCAGCACAGGAAAUAUGACAAAGACCCAAGCGUGUGAUACCAUUUCCAGCAUAGUCUGGUCCCCAAAACCUUCCAGAGAGCGAGCCUCAAACCCAACUUCAGUGGCUUUAACCACUCAUCGGCCACGAAAAUACCACGACUGCGGUCACCACCAUAAACACUUCCUUUGUAAUGGACGGGCUCAGCGCUGAACUUGGGUUCGGAGAUGAGUCUUCCUCUCCUCAAAUCACAUCUGUUCAUUUUUGCUGCCCAUGACGAAAUCACAACCGAGAAACCACACCAACGGUGGCUCUCACUCCCAGCCAGAGCACCUGCCCGGUUCUACGGCACAGGUUCUGUGGCACAGGGCUCCGUGGGCGCCCCCAGCCCACCCGUGGAGCAGGUGCCCCCAUGCUCACCAUCAAGCAGAGAGAACGAAGGCACAGAGCCCUUCAGGAUGCUGCCGAGAUCUCACAGCAGGCAGGCGGCCCGACUGGCUGUGCGCACAGGCACAGCGCUCCCCUUGCUGGGGACUCCUGGCUCCUGUGACUUCUUCUCAAAGCCCCUGCCUACUCUCACCUCGGCUCACCUCCCCACUCAGGGAGGGAGGCUCCCAGGUGAGAGUGCUAAGUCCUGCAGGGGCCGUGUCCACGUCCCUGUUCUCCCAGAGUCAGGAUGAGGGCAAUAAGAGCAGGCUGCCGCAGUGGGGAGAGCGCUGGGCAGAAGUUUCCGUAGCAAACUGGAGGGCGCCAGUUCCGUCCAGGUGUCUGCCAUGUCCUGUCCUGCCCAGGUGAGAGGCAGUGCCGGAGAGGGGCAGCUCCAAGUGAGGGGCAGUCCAGGGUGAGAGGCAGCUCGGGAUGGGAGGCAGCUCUGGAUGAGAGGCAGCACGGGUGGGAGGCAGCACAGGUGAGAGAGGCAGUGCUAUGUGAGAGGCAGCUCCAGGUGAGAGGCAGCACAGGUGGGAGGCAGCUCUGGAUGAGAGGCAGCACAGGUGAGAGGCAUUCCAAGCCUCCCUCAGGGCAGGUGCGUGGCCCACAGGGGCUGUGCAGACCCCUCCCCAGCUCCCUGAG